rnacentral:lncRNA from 1 species
CGGGGUCUGGCUCCGAUGCUAGGUCUGUCCCCACCCCGUGCGCCUGUGUGAACCACUCCUCUCUAGAAGCGGUGUCCCAGGGCGCAGCCUCUGGGAGCACCGGAAGUGAGAGCGCCGCCUGGCCGGAAGUGGCCCUUCACUCUGCUCUGGCCCGCGGGAGCGUCCGUGCGCUCUGCCGUCGGUUCCGAUGCGUGUACAGAGGGACGCUGAGCAUCCCCGGUCCAGUCCAACCAGAGAUCUGUGACCUGCUGCCUCCAGGAUAGCGGAGGAAAUGCCACACCGGCCACCUACGUCCUGCUGUGAAACUAAGAUAAACACCACCUCUCAAGAACCUCAACAAGAAUAAAAAAGUGGUUCCGCUUCCUGACACCCACAAGGCAAAACUGUGGAAGAACGUAAAGUGGGAGUCAAAUAAGGCUAUGGAUUGGACAGUAGAACCCAACCUGGGUUCAUAACAAAAUAAGCAAGUGGAGAGUUUGAAUACACCACUGGGCUUCUGAAGCCAGCAGCAGAAAGCAGAAGAAAAACUCCAGGAAACACAUUUCUCUCUCAAGGAAGAAAAUAUGGCAAAGGAAACUCUUUCCACCACCACCAAAGGAGGAGAGGCUGUUCAAGGCUGGCAAAAGUCAAAAGCCUCUUAGAUAAAAUUCUGGGAGCACUUCUGGUUCGGGGAUCACUGUUCAUGGGUCCCGUCUUG